CUUCUGCUGUGAUGAUUUCUGAAAAAAAUUCACAUGUCAGACUUCAGAGAUUUUUAAAUAGAUCCGUGAGAAGAAAUUUCAUGUUUUUUGAGCAGAUG
rnacentral:snoRNA from 1 species